GUUCAACCUGCAUGAGCCAGGUUGAAAACUGACCCACAUAAAAAAAAUACAAUUUUUUCAAACCCAACCUGGGUCGAACCCGUGAUGGGCCUAGUUGAUCCGUGGAUUGUGACCCAUUUUGACAACUCUAACUAGGAGGGGUAAAAUACAAAACGAACACCAAGAGCUCAAGUUAAGUACCACACCCUUAAAGUCUUGUCCCAUUUUUAGUCAUAUGAGUAUGUGUCCAUUUUAUUUGUUAAUAUAUGAUUUUGCACUAAUUAUUAUUAAAUACUAAUUUCAUUCUAUUAUAAUUUCAUGUCUUCCUAAUACAUUCAUCUCCAUAAAGCAUUGUAUUCAUUCCAUUAAUCUCCAUAAAAUUACCAAGCCAAAUUUUCACAUUCUAUAUCAAAACCUCAAUUCCUUUCUCCACGAACAACACAUCCAAUUUCAAUUCACAAACACCCACAUUUUCUGUGAGCACCCCUAGUUUUUACCUCAUACACCCCAUAUUUCAUGUUUUCGAUUUUGUCUGGGCUAAACCCAUCACUUCUUCGUGGUUUUUUCCACUCAUACACCUUCACUAUUAUUUUUGUCUUGGUUUGUUCUUCUUUUAGUUCAUAUACCCCCCAUAGUUGAUAACCCCACACCUCUAUGUCUGUUUGUUUUUUUAAUCUUGAGCUUGCUUUUAUUUUAUCCUGUGGCAUCUCAAUUUUUGUCGCACACACCUCUUACUAAUUGCUCGCCACACAUUUUACUAUUAUGCAUCAUUGUUAAUUUUAUUUUCUAUUUUUGGAUUUUUAUUUUAGACACUUAUUUUAAAUUUAUCAUACUUAUAUAAUUUAAAAAUAAUAAAAAAUCAAAAAAAUUAAAAAUACAAAAAAUG
rnacentral:lncRNA from 1 species